rnacentral:tRNA from 1 species
GCCUUUGUGGUGUAGUGGUCAGCACACUUGGCGCGUAACCGAGAGGCCCGUGGUUCGAUUCAAGCGAAGGCG